rnacentral:rRNA from 1 species
GACGAACGCUGGCGGCGUGCUUAACACAUGCAAGUCGAACGGAAAGGCCCUGCUUGCCGGGUACUCGAGUGGCGAACGGGUGAGUAACACGUGGGUGAUCUGCCCUGCACUUCGGGAUAAGCCUGGGAAACUGGGUCUAAUACCGGAUAGGAGCCAUUUUUAGUGUGAUGGUUGGAAAGUUUUUUCGGUGUAGGAUGAGCUCGCGGCCUAUCAGCUUGUUGGUGGGGUAAUGGCCUACCAAGGCGGCGACGGGUAGCCGGCCUGGGAGGGUGGACGGCCACAUUGGGACUGAGAUACGGCCCAGACUCCUACGGGAGGCAGCAGUGGGGAAUAUUGCACAAUGGGCGCAAGCCUGAUGCAGCGACGCCGCGGGGGGGAUGACGGCCUUCGGGUUGUAAACUCCUUUCGCUAGGGACGAAGCUUUUUGUGACGGUACCUAGAGAAGAAGCACCGGCUAACUACGUG